GACAGACAGGUUUCACUGUGAGGUUUCCCCUGCGUCAUCACAUCACGGGACUUCAUAACCAUCUAGGGCUAAAUUACAACCGCUUAAACCAAUCAGAUCGCCGUAGGCGGAGACUGUUAUAUGUAGAGAGCGAGUGAGCCUCGCAGCUCAUUCAUUCGUUCAGAGCGAAGCAGGCAGGGACUGAUCGGACUGCAGCUUUCCAAAAAACUCGCUUCUGUCAGAAAACGGAACUUUUAAUCAUCGAUCAUGUCUCUGAACAACUUUAAGGACUCUUCCUUUUUGCCACUCUGGACUUUUCUCCUGUGCUCGGCUUUGUCCGUCUGGACUCCUGUACAAGGUGAGGUUCUGGUGAUCGGUUCAAAUCUUCCUAUCAUCGCUGCUCCGGGUGAUGAUGUCAUCCUGCCGUGCCACCUGGAGCCCAUGUUCGAUGUCCAGGGUCUGACGGUGGAGUGGUCCAAACCCGACCUGAAGCCCGACCCGUCGGACCGGCUGAGCCGAGUGGAGUACGUUCACCUGUACAGGGACAGGAAGGAGGUCCCCGACAUGAAGAUGGCCUCGUACUUCAGGAGGACAGAGCUGUUCAUGGACGCCAUGAAACACGGGAACAUUUCACUGAAGAUCCUGAACGUGUCGGAGGAAGACAACGGCAGAUACAGAUGCUUCAUCCCCAAGCUGAGGAGCAGAGUGAAAGCUGCGAUUGUUGAACUUGUAGUCGAUUCAAACUUUGCUAAAACCUCAACGACAGAGAUGCCGCUGCAAACUCCAGAUCCUCAGGACACGACUCCAACAAAUGGUCGAUCCAGGGUCGCUGUGGUCGUCGUUGUCGUCACCUUAUUAUUAGUUUUGGUUCUCGCUGGAUUUACUGCAUAUUUCUCCAGACACAUUUUUCCCCGGACACUAAAAAAGCAUCCAGAGAACGAUAAGACAGAAAAACAACCACUACCAGUCUAGCUGCCUUGCUCAAAGGAAUAAAUGGACUGGUUCUUCUGUACUGCUUUUCUACUCUGCUUUAGCAAACAACACACUUUGAACUUUGACCCCAGCUGAAGACUCCAGCCUCGUCCAGUUUAUUCAUCGAGCUCAUUUUCACACAAAGAAAAUGUUUUAAAGGAAAUGAUCCAUCCCUGUUCGUUGCUGUGCUGGACUGGAUCGUUCCCAAACAGCAGGGCUGGAAGGAUUUCACAACAUUAAAGGAAAUUUCCAUGAACAUUUGUGACACAGCUCAGGGGGAAAGAUGACAUCAUCUGAAAACUGUGUUGGAGACGCAGAAGAAGUUACAAAAACAGGUUAUAAGCUGAUUACUUUACUGCACUGUGUUAAUGCUGCAAAUGAUGUUUAAUGCAGCUGUAAUUUAAACAGAGUCACUUAUUGUGAUGCUGAAAGUGUUUAUGUAUGAAAGCUAGUUUUAUAUGACAGCAUUGUGAGCACCUUAUAUAAGGUGAUUGAAACUUCAGAUAUUUAUUUAUUUAUUUAUUUUAAAUUCCACAGUUAAUUUAUUAAAUGUAAUUUAAACUUCCUGCUGGUCGGGACUCUAUGUUCAGACUGUUUCUAGUUAUUUAUUGAAAAAAGCAGUUUGAUCCUGAUACAGAGCUCCAGCUUUACUUUAAUUUUGUCAUUUAAAGCUAUAAACAUUGUGCAGACUGACAGAAAUCCUCCUGACUGUGGUUUCUGCUGCAGUUGCGGAGCUAAAAUUAGAGGAUAUUUGUGUCCAACUCUUCUUUAUUCCUGUUCUGUCACAUGACCGUCGCUCCUUUGGUUCACAGUUAAACUGAUGUGUUUGCAGCUGUUAGCCAGCUCAGGGUCAUGUUCUUUUAUUACCUCAGAUAUUUAUUUAUAAGAAUAUUUAUAUUUAAGAAUUAUGGAUGGAUGUAUUUGUUACUGCAGUGAGUGUAAAGUUACAGUGAUAUAUGUGAAUGUGUGAAAUCGUCUGCAAAUAUGAGUGUGAAAGUAAAAAGUUCAAGCACCUUUAGACACUAA